rnacentral:rRNA from 1 species
CCCUUAGAUGUCCGGGGCCGCACGCGCGCUACACUGAAGGAAUCAGCGUGGCUUUCUCCCUGACCCGAAAGGGUUGGGAAACCCGUUGAAUCUCCUUCGUGAUAGGGAUUGGGGCUUGAAAUUGUUCCCCAUGAACGAGGAAUUCCCAGUAAGCGCGAGUCAUAAGCUCGCGUUGAUUACGUCCCUGCCCUUUGUAAACACCGCCCGUCGCUACUACCGAUUGAACGGUUUAGUGAGGGCCUCGGAUUGGUCUCGGCCCGCUCUUUACCGGGCGGCGCCGUUGGUCGAGAAGACGCUCGAACUUGAUCGUUUAGAGGAAGUAAAAGUCGUAACA